UAAAAACUUCUAGAAUUGGCGCCUAAAACAAUGCAUGAGGAAGGUGUGAUCCCUUCUCUCACUUUGGCACCUCCUUAUUUAUUCCUACACCUAUCUACUAACACACCCCCCCUAAGACUCCUAACUAAAGACUAAAAGAUGCUUUAACAAUAGAAGUUUCUAAUGUUUCCCUCUAAGCACCUUCAACAAUAUUCUUUAUUAUUUACUACUUGGCCUUGCCCUUCAUAGGAUGGACUUGGGCUUGGGCUUGGGCUUUGGGCUUGGGCCUCUCUUUAUUUUAUGUCUUCUUUUAAUUUUGAGAAGACUAGAAGGAAGAACUUCAAGUGUG
rnacentral:lncRNA from 1 species